GCGGCGGACGGGUGAGUAACACGUGGGCAACCUGCCCUGCAGACUGGGAUAACUUCGGGAAACCGGAGCUAAUACCGGAUAACACCGAAAACCGCAUGGUUUUUGGUUGAAAGGCGGCUUUUAGCUGUCACUGCAGGAUGGGCCCGCGGCGCAUUAGCUAGUUGGUGAGGUAACGGCUCACCAAGGCGACGAUGCGUAGCCGACCUGAGAGGGUGACCGGCCACACUGGGACUGAGACACGGCCCAGACUCCUACGGGAGGCAGCAGUAGGGAAUCUUCCGCAAUGGACGAAAGUCUGACGGAGCAACGCCGCGUGAGCGAAGAAGGUCUUCGGAUCGUAAAGCUCUGUUGUCAGGGAAGAACAAGUGCCGUUCGAACAGGGCGGUACCUUGACGGUACCUGACGAGGAAGCCACGGCUAACUACGUGCCAGCAGCCGCGGUAAUAC
rnacentral:rRNA from 1 species